CUCUGUCCUUGCCCUGGCCAUCAGGAAGAGCAGACACUACUCCCUUAGCAAUCUGCUGAGAGAUCCAAGGGGCUCUCCCUCUUCUCUUUCUGGACUGCAUUCCCCCAGGAAUAAGCAAAGCAGCACAGAAGCAACCAGGAAUGGCCUCUCUUCUAUUUUCAACAUCCACAUUAUUCCCUCUCCACCAGUUCUUCAGCCUUAUCCCACCCUCUGCCCAUACUCCCACAGCCAUAUCCUUCCCUCUCCCACAGCUCCCACUCCCUCAGUCCUGCACUAAAGAGCAAACGAGCAGAAGAAACCAGGCAAGGCCUUUCUCAGCAUCCUGGUUUUCAUUUCAGAGGGGCCAUGGAGGAUCCACAUCAGAUGGGAUCAAGGGGAGGAGGUGCACGUGGUCCCGAGGCCGGCUCUUCUUCCCCGCUCCCUCGGUGGCCACGAUGGAAGUUCCCCAGGUUGUGCAGGAGGUUGGUUCCUGCCCUGGCCCGUUUCUGUCCAGCCCCUCCAACUCUCUCUGGACACGCUGGUGCAGCCCAGGGGGGCUCGGUGCCCGGUCCCCAUCGGAGAAUGUCGGGCCACGGCCACCUCCAGGAGCAGCCAACUCCUGCCGCUGCCGCCACCGCACCACGAAGGGAUGGAGGCGGCGGGGCCGACGUGGGGCCCGCCCGGCACGGUUCUGCAGCCCCUGCAGCAGGCGGAUGGCCCCAAUGGGCCCCUGGCAGAUGGGGCAGGCGGCAGCGGGGUCGUGGCCGGCCUGGUGCUGGAUGCAGGCGUGGCAGAACACGUGCCCGCAGGGCUCCACGGCAGCAGCGGGGCUCCGCAGGAAAUCCACGCAGAUGCGGCAGACCCGGACGGCUCCUGGCGCUGGUGCCUCUGGCCCGACCUCCGCCAUCGGUGCUCCCGGAGCUGGCUCCUCUCGGCUGCUGGCAGGAACUGAAGGCUUGACUGCCACUUGUGGCACUCGGAGGUUCCUCAGUCACUGGCAGCACUCAGAGGUUCCUGAGUCGCUGCUGUCCUUCAGAGGCUUCUCAGACAGGCGGUCCCUGCUGGGGUGGGGCCGUGCCACUCUUACACUCCCAGAGUGACUGGGCUGGCAGGGACUUCCAGAGGUCAUCUGGUCCAAGCCCCAGCUGAAGAGUCUCUGCUAUAGGCCAGCAGUGAUCAAAGUCCUUUGCCUCCCUCAUUGCUGAGGGACUCCAUGACAGAUCUCAU
rnacentral:lncRNA from 1 species